UAGGAAAAGGGAGAGACAAAUCAAAAACAGAUGAGAGGGGAUUAGGAAAUCGUCAAGUUCUUGGAGAUAUUGGUAACCUUGAAGUACUUAAAACCACUGAUGGCAAGCACAUUUCACGGCCUAUCACAAGGAACCUUUAUGCAAAACUUUUGGCAAAUUCACAAUUUACUGCAAACUUGUUGUUGGAUCCAAAAGCCCAAGCUAAUGAACAAGGAGCUGCACAAGGGAAUAAGAACUUUGUUCAACUUGAAUUAGACAAUACAGCAAGCGUUCACAGGAAACAUGGUUUAGAGGAAAGCUUUGAGCACGAUAAUGAAAGAAAGUUUAAGAAAAGAUCUUGUAGGAAAGUCAUAGUCUAACUGCAGAAAUUACUGCACAGAGCAAGUGUGGAGUCUGGUGACAUUGAUCUAUCUGAGUUUUAAGAAGAGAACCAGGGUGACGAUGGUGAUAAAAACGAUAACGAUAGAGAUGACGGGGCUGAUAUUAAAAGAGAAUCUGUAGUCAAGAGGGAACCCAGCAAGCUGCUGGAACAAAUGAAAAUGCAGCAAAUGGAUCUAACCCCCAGCCGAAGAAACUAAUUAUAAGUGAUGAAUACUUUCAAAGAGUGACUAGGGCACUCAUCAUGCAUCUUAGACAGCAGGAAGAAACUGUUCUGCAACAAGGAACUGAGUUGGCUGAAACAAGGCAACGAGAUUUGAUUCAAUGGUAUAUAGACCAACAAAAUGAGAAAAACGCUUACAGUUCUAUGGAGGAGGUUAAAGCAGAAC